rnacentral:rRNA from 1 species
UACGGAGGGAGCUAGCGUUAAUCGGAAUCACUGGGCGUAAAGCGCACGUAGGCGGGUUGUUAAGUCGGGGGUGAAAUCCUGGAGCUCAACUCCAGAACUGCCUUCGAUACUGGCGACCUUGAGUCCGGGAGAGGUGAGUGGAACUCCGAGUGUAGAGGUGAAAUUCGUAGAUAUUCGGAAGAACACCAGUGGCGAAGGCGGCUCACUGGCCCGGUACUGACGCUGAGACGCGAAAGCGUGGGGAGCGAACAGG